CUCGUAGGCUGCCAACUAAGUCAGACGUGAAAUCCCUCGGCUUAACCGAGGAACUGCGUCUGAUACUGGAUGGCUUGAGAUCGGGAGAGGGAUGCGGAAUUCCAGGUGUAGCGGUGAAAUGCGUAGAUAUCUGGAGGAACACCGGUGGCGAAGGCGGCAUCCUGGACCGACACUGACGCUGAGGAGCGAAAAGCCAGGGGAGCAAACG
rnacentral:rRNA from 1 species